rnacentral:rRNA from 1 species
CCUACGGGAGGCAGCAGUGAGGAAUAUUGGUCAAUGGGCGGAAGCCUGAACCAGCCAAGUAGCGUGCAGGAUGACGGCCCUACGGGUUGUAAACUGCUUUUAUACGGGAAUAACGCGCCUUACGUGUAGGGCUUUGCAUGUACCGUAUGAAUAAGGACCGGCUAAUUCCGUGCCAGCAGCCGCGGUAAUACGGAGGAUCCGAGCGUUAUCCGGAUUUAUUGGGUUUAAAGGGAGCUUAGGUGGAUUGUUAAGUCAGUUGUGAAGGUUUGCGGCUCAACCGUAAAAUUGCAGUUGAAACUGGCAGUCUUGAGUACAGUAGGGGUGGGCGGAAUUCGUGGUGGAGCGGUGAAAUGCUUAGAUAACACGAAGAACUCCGAUUGCGAAGGCAGUUCACUGGACUGCAACUGACACUGAGGCUCGAAAGUGUGGGUAUCAAACAGGAUUAGAUACCCCUGUAGUC